UGCGUAGGCGGCUAAAUAAGUCAGAGGUGAAAUGCUACGGCUUAACUGUGGAAUUGCCUUUGAAGCUAUAUAGCUAGAAUAGAGUUGAGGUUGGCGGAAUGUGACAUGUAGCGGUGAAAUGCAUAGAUAUGUCAUAGAACAUCGAUUGCGAAGGCAGCUAACUGGGCUUUUAUUGAUGCUGAGGCACGAAAGGCGUGGGGAUCAAACA
rnacentral:rRNA from 1 species